rnacentral:lncRNA from 1 species
CGAGACUCCAGCACACAGCGAAUGUCCUCGCCAUUCUAUUCAAAGAGAAGAGUCAUCCUGGAACAGCCGUGCUGGAACUCUCAGAACUCAGUGUGCUUGAGGGGUAUGUGGAUCUGUCUUUUGGUUGUGGGUACUUUAAGUGAUGAGAAGUUUAAUGUCAGGAGGCACAUGGCGCAACAGGAGACUCCAAGAACAAAAGUCACAGUACAUCCAGGACUCCAGGAAGUGGGGCUGGAUCCAAGGCAGCCUGAACUGGCAGCAGCAGAAGUUAAUGCGGCUUCACUGGUAUGCUCCAGAAUAUGUGAUUUUGCUGUUACCCACGUAUUAAAUUCCCGAGAGUUAGAAUUUGUUUCAACCACUAUCUCAGCAGUCAUCCACAGCUGAAGGAAGAGAAGGCACAUCAUGCGAUGUAAAUA